AUUUUCCCAAAUCCUCCUAUUUCAUUUUCUAUUCCCUCCUAUUUCCCCAAAACCUCCUAUCCCCCCAUAAUCGUAAACCCCUGCUCCCCCGUUCUCCCCCAAAUCCAUCUUGUCCGGCCUCCGGACUCCGCGAAUCUCUUCUCCACUUCUUUCUACGUUGCUACUGGUUGGAAAUCUCUACUCAACUUCUACCUACGUUGUUGUCGAUCCUCCAAGGUUCGAUUGUUUUAUUCUCAAAUCCUCAGAGCUUAUUAUUAUUAAAAACUUAAAGUCUACCUAUUUUUGAUCUUGCUUUUCCGACAAAUCUAUCGACGACGUCUUUUUUUUUUUUUAUCUCUGAAUUUGGGGGAGGGGGAGGAGUGAUGAUGAGCUGCAGACUUGUAGUAGAGGAGAAUGGGAGAAAUAAUACUUCUAGAUUCUGGAAUGGGAGAAUGGGAGAAAUAAUUACCAUCCUGAAUGUGUUCAUAGUCAUACUGGAAGUUUAGAGGAGACAAUGUGAUUGUACUGGUCAGAUCAAAUAUAACAGUUCCCUUGAACGCUACAUCACUUCUCCUCAUUCUAAAUUUCAGGAAAUGGUAUUUUCUUGAAGCUAAGAAUAAAAAUAAAACAUGGUCGGAACACAACACAGAAUUCCAGUAACCCCAAAGCGUGGUAUCACUAUGGCCAGGAUUAGGGUCUAAAGGAUUAAGGUGCCUGAUAGAUUACAACCUAAUAUGUUUAUAAUUUACAAAUAGGAAUUUUUAGUCCUAUCAAUGCCCUGACCCAGCCAUCUUACCCAUGAAUAUGAGGUUGAAGAUUCAUCAUUAAGAGGAAGGAAACCUUCCAGGAAUUGCAUCAAUAUUUGAAUUUGAAUGUUAGCUUGUUAUAAUUUGAAGAUAAUAUUUGAAUUUACUUGUAGUAAGGACUUUAACCAUAUCUUAGAAAAUUCUGAAAUGAAUGAGGUCUGAAGACCCUCUUUGUGAGUAUAUAAAUAUAUCAGCUCUUUGUAGAGUAUUAGAUAUAUAGAUGAUCCUGGUUUUCUUUCUUCAAUUCUUUCCCGAAUGAAGUUAUAGUCAAGAGUCAUGUGCUUCAUCUUGCUGUGGAAGGUUGAAUUGGGAAAAAAUUGUGUAGCCCUCCCGGCCAAGGUUGUCAUACCAAAUUGUUGAUGGUUGCCCUCCAUACUUGAAAGAUUAUUCAAUCAUCAAGUAGAUUCACGAGUGCUGACUUAGUUACUUGUUGUCUUAGUCAAGGUUUGAAAUAAGUCGUUAAAUUACUUUUAAAUAUAAAUGUUAAUUUAUUGUUAGUGUUUAACAUGUGAGCUACUGGGUUUAGUAUGUGGUAGUCAGAUUCGGUUUUUGUUUUCUUCAAUCAAAACUAUUUUGAUUUUUCUUGUUUAGUUUUAACUUUUUUCUUCUUCCGGUAAUCUCUCUGAUGAGGUGCAUCGUAAUAUCACAUGGUGUCUAGAUAAUCACGAUUUUAUAUUAUUUAGAAAUGUUUAGUUAGAGUUAGUUAUUUUUGUAUAAGUUUUUUUGAAUACUUAUUUUAAUAGUUUUUUCAUUUAAAUAUUGAUUUUUAAAUAUUUAAAUACUUAUUUUUGGAUCAUUCAUUUUUGCAUUUGAUAAAAUCUAAAUUCUUUGCUUUCAAAAAAAAAUCUGAAUUCUUAAACAUCGAUCAACUUAUUAAUUAUGUUUUUAUUUUAUAAAAUAGAUGUUUUAUAUAAAUCAUUUACUGGUUUACUAGUAUUUUAUUACAUAUAUGAUAUAUCUGAUCACAAAUAUAUCUGAUUACUCCAGUCCGGCCACUCCAGUUCGGCAACUUCCAGUUCGGCAACUUCCAGUCCUUUGGUAACACUCUAGUCCGGCAACUUCGAGGUAAGAGUCUUUUGGUACUUUUGGGUAUUUUCGAUCCCUAAAAUUUAUAAACUCUUAGUUUCUAUCGACUAUCAUAUGAUUCACAUCGUGUUUAAUUUUAUAGUUUUAUUGUUUUAAGUUUUUAUAAUAAAAGUUUUACUGUUUUAAGUGUUUAAUUAUAAAUAUCGACUAUCAUAAGUUUUACUCUUUUUUUUGCUGAUUUAUUCUGUUUCACAUUAGGCUAUAGUGGUGCAUCAAUUUCAAUUUUGUAUGUUUAUUAAUCAUUGUCUUAUUUCAACCUUAUCCUACUUUUGUAGUUCUAUACUUUUAUUAUCCGUUCUGUUUUCAUGAUUUGAUGUUAAUAAAUAUUCUAAAUAAAUGUUUAUUUAGAACUCUCUGUUAUAUUAUGUUAGAUUUUAUAUUAUUUAGAAAUGUUUAGUUAGAGUUAGUUAUUUUUGUAUAAGUUUUUUGAAUACUUAUUUUAAUACCUUUUUCAUUUAAAUAUUGAUUUUUAAGAGGUAUCUUUUAAUUUGUAUGUUAGGAGAUAGACUAAAAUGACUGAUCAAAUAGAAGGGCUUGACAAAUCAUGGUUGUUUGAAAGUUCAACCUCGAUGAAAUUUCAAAGUGGAUUGAAAAGUUUUUUAGAUUUUGCUGAAAUCUAUUCAAACCACAAGAUGGAGCCUGGAUUAAAACUACCAUGUCCUUGUUCAAAGUGUCACAAUGGCAAAUAUUAUAAUCGUAAGACCAUUAGUGAGCAUGUCAUAUUCUUUAGUUUUGACAAUGCAUAUAGGUAUAAUACAUGGUAUAGCAUGGAGAAUUAAUUCCAGGUUCGAGAGCACAUAAUUAAAAAAGCAUUGAAACGCAAGAGACGUGAAAUAGCAAUUUCUACUGCACCUCCUAUGAUAGUAGAAAAUGAGAUGACCCUUUUAGUAAAUGAAGAAAUGGUUGAUCCAACUAAUUAUCCAGUCGCUAAUCUGAUUGAUGAAGCAAUGACUAAUAUUGUCAUAGACGAUCUAAUUAUUUCUCCAAUCAAUCAUCCGGAUAAUUUGAACAAUGAUCCCACAAAUACUCCGAUCGAUGGUCCGAUCAAUGAUCCAAUAAUGGCUUCUAUGAAUGAUCUCGCAAACACUCUGAUCAAUAAUCCGAUAGCUACUCCGAUCAUUGAUAUGAUAGAUUCUCCGAUCAUUGAUCUGAUAGAUUCUCCGAUCAAUGAUCCGAUAGCUACUCCGAUCAUUGAUCCGAUAGAUACUCCGAUCAAUGCUCCGAUAGAUACUCCGAUCAAUGAUCCAAUAAAUACUCCGAUUGAUGAUCCAAAAUUCAACCGCCGGUUAAGAGAUGCUAAUGAACAAUUAUAUCUUGGUUGUACAAAAUACACCAAAUUAUCUGCUAUUCUCCAUUUAUACCAUCUAAAAUGCUUGAAUGGGGUUUCUAACAAAUUCUUUGAAAUGUUGUUGGAAUUCUUUCGAGAUGUUAUUCCUUCGGGUGAUACUUCAAUUCCUAAAACAAUGCAUGAAGCAAAAUCAUACCUUAGAGAUCUUGGAUUGAACUACGUGAAGAUCGAUGCAUGUCCAAAUAAUUGAAUUCUUUAUCGAAAAGAAUUUGAAAAUUCAGAAACUUGUAAACGAU
rnacentral:lncRNA from 1 species